rnacentral:lncRNA from 1 species
CUCUAUGCACUGUGACGCUGUCUUCUGAGUGGAACUCUCGUUUCUUGUAUUUAUCAGAGAAAUUUGGUGGUGCCAUGAAGUAGGGGCGUUGUCCUUCCUUAUAGACCAUUCAUGACUUUUCUGAGCAAGCGAAUUUACGUCCAAGGACACAACCAUGCAUUUAGUUAGUAUGUAGUCAUGGUAUGUACAGAGCUGGAAGACAAAAAGCCAUGGGCAAGCCAAUUCUUGGGUAGAUGUUCCCUCGGAGUUUCUUGUACCUUGUCUGGCAAAUGACGUGCUCUAUUGGAAAUCCUAUAAUCCUAUCGAUAAAAAAAUUGACUUACUUAACUCACAAGUCACGAGUACAGAAAUAAUUCUAAUAUAGUAAAAAAAAAAGAACUCAUUGUUGUUGUGCCAUAUCAUAGUAGGCGCCGACAAUGUACACAUCAUCAAGUAAUUCAACACUAUUAGUUGGAGUGUUAUUCACUUUUUUUCAAAACUAUUUUCUGUUGGAGAAGAAACCAUUCGUCCAGG